AAAUCCGCAUGUCAUAGGUCUGAGACGUGAUGCCGAGCCGAUUGUGGCGAAGUGGAUGAUCCCAUGCUGUCGAGAAAAGCCUCUAGCGAGUGCCAGGGCCGCCCGUACCCGAAACCGACACAGGUGGUCAGGUAGAGAAUACCGAGGCGAUCGAGUGAACUGUGGUCAAGGAACUCGGCAAAAUGCCCCCGUAACUUCGGGAGAAGGGGGGCCACCGCUGGUGAUCACCUUCGCGGUGUGAGCUGGUGGGGGCCGCAGAGACCAGGGGAAAGCGACUGUUUACUAAAAACACAGCUCCGUGCGAAGCCGUAAGGCGAUGUAUACGGAGUGACGCCUGCCCGGUGCUGGAACGUUAAGGGGACGGGUUAGCUCUUCGGGGCGAGGCUCAGAACUUAAGCGCCAGUAAACGGCGGUGGUAACUAUAACCAUCCUAAGGUAGCGAAAUUCCUUGUCGGGUAAGUUCCGACCUGCACGAAUGGCGUAACGACUUUCCUGCUGUCUCGACCACAGACUCGGCGAAAUUGCACUACGAGUAAAGAUGCUCGUUACGCGCGGCAGGACGGAAAGACCCCGGGACCUUUACUGCAGCUUGAUAUUGGUGUUCGGUCCGGCUUGUGUAGGAUAGGUGGGAGACUGUGAACCCUCGACGCCAGUUGGGGGGGAGUCAUUGUUGAAAUACACUCUGGUCGUGCUGGAUGUCUAACCUGGGUCCGUGAUCCGGAUCAGGGACAGUGUCAGGUGGGUAGUUUAACUGGGGCGGUUGCCUCCUAAAGAGUAACGGAGGCGCCCAAAGGUUCCCUCAGCCUGGUUGGCAAUCAGGUGUUGAGUGCAAGUGCACAAGGGAGCUUGACUGUGAGACCGACGGGUCGAGCAGGUGCGAAAGCAGGGACUAGUGAUCCGGCGGUGGCUUGUGGAAGCGCCGUCGCUCAACGGAUAAAAGGUACCCCGGGGAUAACAGGCUGAUCUUGCCCAAGAGUCCAUAUCGACGGCAAGGUUUGGCACCUCGAUGUCGGCUCGUCGCAUCCUGGGGCUGGAGUAGGUCCCAAGGGUUGGGCUGUUCGCCCAUUAAAGCGGUACGCGAGCUGGGUUUAGAACGUCGUGAGACAGUUCGGUCCCUAUCCGCCGCGCGCGUAGGAGUCUUGAGAAGGGCUGUCCCUAGUACGAGAGGACCGGGACGGACGAACCUCUGGUGUGCCAGUUGUCCCGCCAGGGGCAUGGCUGGUUGGCUACGUUCGGAAGGGAUAACCGCUGAAAGCAUCUAAGCGGGAAGCUCGCUUCGAGAUGAGGUCUCCCACAGGGUUAACCUGGUAAGGCCCCCGAGAGAUGAUCGGGUUGAUAGGCCAGAUGUGGAAGCCCGGCAACGGGUGGAGCUGACUGGUACUAAUAGGCCGAGGGCUUGUCCC
rnacentral:rRNA from 1 species